rnacentral:rRNA from 1 species
UAAGACGAACCGUGCGAACGUUAUUCGGAAUCACUGGGCUUAAAGGGCGCGUAGGCGGGCUCGCCAGUCAGGGGUGAAAUCCUCCAGCUCAACUGGAGCAGUGCCUUUGAUACUGCGAGUCUCGAGGGAGGUAGGGGCGUGCGGAACUUCCGGUGGAGCGGUGAAAUGCGUAGAUAUCGGAAGGAACACCGGUGGCGAAAGCGGCGCGCUGGACCUCUUCUGACGCUGAGGCGCGAAAGCCAGGGGAGCAAACGGGAUUAGAUACCCCGGUAGUCCUGGCCCUAAACGAUGGGUACUAGGUAGUGGACUGACAUGGGUUCACUGCCGAAGCAAAAGUGUUAAGUACCCCGCCUGGGGAGUAUGGUCGCAAGGCUG